rnacentral:misc_RNA from 1 species
AACGCACCUUGCGCUCCCUGGUAUUCCGGGGAGCACGCCUGUUCGAGUGUCGUGAAAUUUCUCAAGCUUGGAUGGAUUUUUCUGUCCUUAGUUUGGUUGUUGGGCUUUGCCGUGUCCUUCAUUGGAACGGCUGGCCUUAAAAGCAUUAGCUGAUCCUUGUGUGGCACUGGUUCUACUCAGCGUGAUAACAGUCUGAUCGUUGAGGACAUCUUUUAGGAUGGCCGGUCUUCAUUUGGGUUGCUUCUAAACCUGGUUUUGCAGAUUGUUUCAAUCUGUAUUCCACUUUUCAGCUUUGACCUCGAAUCAGGUGGGACUACCCGCUGAACUUAA